rnacentral:tRNA from 1 species
GCAAUAGUAGCUCAGCCCCAGAGCGCCGGUCUUGUAAGCCGGAUGUCGAAGGUUAAAAUCCUUCCUACUGCU